rnacentral:rRNA from 1 species
AUAUUGGCCAGAGACCGAUAGCGCACAAGUAGAGUGAUCGAAAGAUGAAAAGCACUUUGAAAAGAGAGUUAAACAGUAUGUGAAAUUGUUGAAAGGGAAGCGCAGGCAACCAGACUCGAGCGCGGGGUUCCCCCUUCCUUUUGGUUGGGCUACUUCCCCGUGACCGGGCCAUCAUCAGUUUCGGGGGCGGGUUAAAGGCCUUGGGAAUGUAUCUACCCCUUCGGGGGUAGACUUAUAGCCCUCGGUGUCAUGCCGCCUCCCGGGACUGAGGAACGCGCUUCGGCGAGGAUGAUGGCGUAAUGGUUGUCUGCGACCCGUCUUGAAACACGGACC